rnacentral:rRNA from 1 species
GAUCAUGGCUCAGGAUGAACGCUAGCUACAGGCUUAACACAUGCAAGUCGAGGGGAAACGACAUCGAAAGCUUGCUUUUGAUGGGCGUCGACCGGCGCACGGGUGAGUAACGCGUAUCCAACCUGCCCAUCACUUGGGGAUAACCUUGCGAAAGUAAGACUAAUACCCAAUGACGUCUCUAGAAGACAUCUGAAAGAGAUUAAAGAUUUAUCGGUGAUGGAUGGGGAUGCGUCUGAUUAGCUUGUUGGCGGGGUAACGGCCCACCAAGGCUACGAUCAGUAGGGGUUCUGAGAGGAAGGUCCCCCACAUUGGAACUGAGACACGGUCCAAACUCCUACGGGAGGCAGCAGUGAGGAAUAUUGGUCAAUGGGCGAGAGCCUGAACCAGCCAAGUAGCGUGCAGGAUGACGGCCCUAUGGGUUGUAAACUGCUUUUAUAAGGGAAUAAAGUGGGUCACGUGUGACUUUUUGCAUGUACCUUAUGAAUAAGGACCGGCUAAUUCCGUG